UGCUGGUGUGCCGACUUUUGCGGAGGGCGGUAUUUAUUAGAUAACAAGCCAAUAUUCCUUUGGUCUAUUGUGGUGACUCAUAAUAACUGAUCGAAUCGCAAGGCCUAUGGCCGCGAUAAGUCAUUCAAGUUUCUGCCCCAUCAGCUUUCGAUGGUAGUGUAUUGGACUACCAUGGCGUUUACGGGUAACGGAGGAUUAGGGUUCGAUUCCGGAGAGGGAGCCUGAGAAACGGCUACCACAUCUAAGGAAGGCAGCAGGCGCGUAAAUUACCCAAUCCUGACUCAGGGAGGUAGUGACAAGAAAUAACGG
rnacentral:rRNA from 1 species